rnacentral:lncRNA from 1 species
AUAAAAAUUUGUCCUCCAACUUAUAUGUUCUAGUCUUUAAUCAGAAAUUCUGGAACACACUGAUUGAUUUUGAUGUAUCCUAUUCAGUAUGAAAGCUCCAAAUGCUUGACUACUAGUGCCUUUGGUGUUUGCUUUUUAUCAGCGUUAAAUAGUGUCCGUUUAUAUGUGGUUUUAAAGAUGAAUCCUCAUGUAUCCUUCUCUUUUUAUUGGGAAUCUCUGUU